rnacentral:rRNA from 1 species
AGUGAACGCUGGCGGUAGGCCUAACACAUGCAAGUCGAACGGCAGCACAGUAAGAGCUUGCUCUUACGGGUGGCGAGUGGCGGACGGGUGAGGAGUACAUCGGAAUCUACUUUUUCGUGGGGGAUAACGUAGGGAAACUUACGCUAAUACCGCAUACGACCUACGGGUGAAAGCAGGGGAUCUUCGGACCUUGCGCGAUUGAAUGAGCCGAUGUCGGAUUAGCUAGUUGGCGGGGUAAAGGCCCACCAAGGCGACGAUCCGUAGCUGGUCUGAGAGGAUGAUCAGCCACACUGGAACUGAGGCAAGGGCCAAGCUCCUACGGGAGGCAGCAGUGGGGAAAAUUGGACCAUGGGGGCAAGCCUGAUCCAGCCAUACCGCGUGGGUGAAGAAGGCCUUCGGGUUGUAAAGCCGUUUUGUUGGGAAAGAAAAGCAGCAGGUUAAUACCCCGCUGUUCUGACGGUAACCGAAGAAUAAGCAACGGCUAAAUUCGUG